CCCCACUAGUCUGGGAUACCACUUGGAAACAGGUGCUAAUACCGGAUAAGAAAGCGGAUCGCAUGAUCAGCUUUUAAAAGGCGGCGUAAGCUGUCGCUAUGGGAUGGCCCCGCGGUGCAUUAGCUAGUUGGUAAGGUAAAGGCUUACCAAGGCGAUGAUGCAUAGCCGAGUUGAGAGACUGAUGGCCACAUUGGGACUGAGACACGGCCCAAACUCCUACGGGAGGCAGCAGGC
rnacentral:rRNA from 1 species